GAGCUAAGGCUUGCUCAAUUUGGAGUUGAACCGAAUUUUUGGUGAAUGUUUUAGUGCAAAGGGGGCGGCUGCCUUGGCAGUUUCAAUAACCCAAUUUUGAAAAGGCAAUUCUCAGUUCAACUUAAUGGAAUCAUUUUUAAAUUUUAAUAUUACAUAAAAUGAUUAAGCUGAGCUUCUACUAGCAUAAUUUUUAUUAAAUUUGAAUCAAUUUUGAAUUUUUAACGAAUUUUUGAGUGAAGGGGGUUGGCUGCAGUGGCAGGCUCAAUGAUCCAACUUUGAAGAAGCAUUGCUCAUAGCGAAGGUACUAGAUUGCUACAAAAAUUGCGGAGUAAGAGCAUUUUGAAGUUAAAUUUUCAGCAAAAAAAAAUCACUAGAUUUGGAGCUAAUUUGGAUUUUUGGAAAAUUUUGGAAUUAGGGAGGGGGGUGCUUCCUUCAAUCCUUGGGCGUUGUCAAGGUACUUCCGCUUGUACCUCUCUUUAUUUAUUUUUUCUUUUAUUUUAUUUCAUUUUAUUUUUUACAAUAACUUAUAACUUCUACAUUCACUUUUGGCUUUAAUUUUUAACUUUUAAUCUUCUCCCUUUUACUUUUAUUUUUUUAUUUUUUAACUUUUAUUUUUUAAACUUUUUACUUUCAUUUUACUUUUUAAACUUUAAUUUUAACUUUUAAAUUUUAAUUUUUAAUCCAAAAUUUAAAAAAU
rnacentral:lncRNA from 1 species